rnacentral:lncRNA from 1 species
CGGGAGCCCUCCCGGGUCCUGUUUUCUCGGAGAAUUCUGCAGCCCGCGACUCAAGGCAAUUCGGUUCCACCCGAAACCUCAGCUCCAAAUGCCUUGUUUUAGAAGCUGGGGCUUUGGAGGUUCUGAGGACCGUUCCUGGGGAGGCGGGUGACAGUCUGUGAGGUUCUCGCGGCCCCUCUGAUUCCUGCACAGUUACCGAGGGAGAGAGUGCUAGAAAUGGCUUUGCUGCCGAAUGCAUUAUCUUGCCAUUUUCGUAUCCCGAUACAGCACGCACGAUCGCCUGAUCGAUCGGGUAAGAUUAGCUUUGUUCCGUCUCUCUUUUCCUCUCCACGGUCCCAUCCCUUCUACAAGCCCAAACCCAACCCAAAUCGCAGUCUCUCGUCUCUCUCUCUCUCUCUCUCUCUCUCUCUCUCCCUCUCUUUCAAGUGAGGAACUUCCCUUUCCUCUUUGAAACCUACUUCCCCAGGGGAUUGCUUGUGUGACUAGGGGCUGGUAACUCUCUUCGUAGAUGAUUUAUAUUUUGGCUGUGAAAUGAUUCCCCCCUCGCCACCCUCGGUCCCCUCCUUAGGGAAGGUCCCUCCCUCCCCAUGGGUUCCCUGUCUGAGCUUGGAUCUGGAUGAAGAGCGCUGUGGGAGUCUUUUGCCCUCUGCUCUACCUUCCUCUGGACCCUGAAGCUUAAGCAUUAUCCGCCUCUCUCUCUUUUUUUCAGAAAUAGGAGGGAAAGGCAGAGUGGAAAUUGAUUUCUUGCAGAGACUCAGGCGCCGAAUGAUAGAGGGAAUAAACAUUUGCCCUGGAUAAAAAUGUUCUUGGUAAGUAAUCUUAUUUUCUGCGGUUGAAAAGGAAACACAUUGCUUCUCACUGGCCCAUCCCCCACUCCAUUCAUUUAUUUGCUCUCUGUAUGUAAAUCACGAGCUGGGUCAGUGGAAAUUUUCUUUUCCCUCUUCCUAGGAGAAUAGCAGCGUGUAAGGGUGAAUUUGAACUAGGGGGCUUUUAAGGAGGCAACAUGAAUGCUUUAAGGCGCUUCAGUUCUUAUAUCCCAAACCUACACACAGGUAAAGCUGAUUCCCGCUUGCUUGUUAGAAGAGUAUUUAAAUAUCUCCUUUAUUUCUUACUAACACUUUUCUUUCUCAAAAUGAAGAAAACGGGUACUGUAGUAGCUCCGUGUCCAUGGUUUUCAUAUAUUUUGGCCAUGUUCUAAAAUAUGAUAUUCUUUCCACUCCAGAAAUAAGAAUGUGUAUUCAGCUGAAGCUUAAUAAGUAAGCUUUAAGCUAAAGGUAACUUAAAGCUCUCAUACCCCUUACUAACCUGUACAUCUUUGUUCCAACUCUUGUACCAGAUACAAAUUAUUAGCAUCCAAGAUAGCUAUUUGCAUGUUGUGGUGAUAGCUAUAAAUUCAGAAAGCCCUCUGGUUUUCAUGAGUCUAUAGCACCCCCAGCCUGCAUUUGCUCAUUAUGUGAAGAGUGUAAAAGAGGGAGGAAGCCAAACACCUCUUGAUUGUGCUUACAUCACAUGUCACUAAGUGUGCAGAAUAAUCCACCUUGCAAAUUGUGUGAACUGGGUUUAUUAAGCGUAAGCUGACUAGUGUGGAUGUGAAAAACUAAAGGAGACUUGCUCUAAGAGAAAUUAUUGCCAUUUUGAGUUACAGAUAUUUUACUGGUACAAUAUCGGUAUUAUUUUUUCUCCAUUGUUGUCAUACCUUACACUGUACACCCCUUAUUCCCAAAUUUUAAUGAUAAAGAAUAAGCUAUUCCUGAUACAAAUAGGAUGGUUUUAAUUUCAUCUAAAGUAUCUGACAUUAAAAUUCCAUUGAUAAGAAUAGACUUUAUUUCAAGUCAUCAAUUUUCUAGAAAUCUCUACUAGAAAAUCCCAGAAGAGAGAUAGCUAAGUGUCAUAUUACAACAUAAAGGCAAACUGUGCAUGUGCACAAGUAUCUAUAGUCGUUAUUACUAUCAAAAUUGUCCAGGGAAAAAAUUUCAUGUGUGUGUAUAACUUUUCUUUUCUUUCUGUUCUUAGGCUGUGUUCCAGCCCUAAUAAGGACCUAGAGCAGAAGUUUUUCUUCAGUGAUCUAAUUUUACCCAAAAGCUCAUUUCUGUGUUAUGUCUCUGUUUUACGCAGGCUGACAAAUGUUGGUAGGGGGAUGGAUGCCCCGAAUUAAAUUUGUUACAAACUCAACCUUAACAGUUGUGAUGUAUUAGACAGCAUAUUUUUCGUGUAAGAUUUAAUAUGCUGCUAAACUUACUUACCUAAAUUGUGAUUCAAAGAAAUACAAUUGUUUUUUGAGGACCCAACUUAAGUUAGAAAGUAUAAUAUUAAAAUUUUUAUUUUAUAUGUAAAAUAAAUGCAAGAUUGAUGUUCUUUUAAAUAUUUGGAGAAUAAAAAGUACAGGAUUAAAAAAUAUUAAUUCUGUGACCCAUGUUUCCUUAACUUUAACAUAGUUAAUAGCACUUAAAGUUUAUUAAACUAGCUAAGUCUUUGAGCAUUAUACUAAAUCAUAUGAUUAAGUGUGAUGAACCUCAAAAUAGAGCCAUAGGCUUUUACAUCUGUUAGCUAGCUUUUACCUGGUUUGUACUUAGAUCUGUCUCAAAAGUUAUACAUUAUAAGUUUAUACUCAGCAUGUCUUUUCCUGGAUCAUCUCAAUGCACAUCUACAAUGGGUAUCUAAGCACAUUUUAUAUUACUGGUAAUGUUUUUACUUGUUAUCCUGGCUCCUUCUUUUUAGUGGUAUAGGUACCACGUGAUAUAUUUGUUAACUAUUAAUCCACAAAAAUGUCUAAUCUAAAAGCAAUAUUCAAGGUAUAUCGUAUUGGGGAAAUUGCGAGUCAGUUUGCUUUGUCAAUAAAAAUGUCAAUAUGCUUCAGAUUGUUUUAACCUUAAAUCAAAAUUAUAACAAAAAUGUAGAAGAUAAGUAAAUUCAAACUGUUCCUUGCAUAUGAAAGGGUCAUAUCACACACAGGUAUUCAUAUAUAAUUUCCCUCAUUAGAAUAUUUAAAUUUCUUUAGUCUCUGUUAUAUGUUUAUUUUGGUUUUAGAUCUUUCUCUUUGAAAGUGCCUAAAGUUUCUUAAAUACCUAAGUGUGCAGGCAUCUGCUUGCCUUACUCCAUAAAAUGAAUGUGCUGCUAAAUAAACUGAGCCAGUAUAUUUGAAUCUCAAAAAAAGUACAGCACUGUUCCCCACUUAUCCAUAGGGGAUACAUUCUAAGACUCUCAGCAGAUGCCUAAAACCAUGGAUAGUAGAGAACCCUAAAUACACUAUGUUUUUUCCUCCACAUACACACCUAUGAUAAAGUUGAAUUUAUGUAUUAGGCACAGUAAGAGUUGAACAAUAAUAAAAUAGAACAAUUACAAAAAUAUGGUGUAAUAAAAGUUAUGUGAAC